rnacentral:rRNA from 1 species
UGGGGAAUUUUGGACAAUGGGCGAAGCCUGAUCCAGCAAUGCCGCGUGUGUGAAGAAGGCCUUCGGGUUGUAAAGCACUUUUGUCCGGAAAGAAAUCCUUGGCUCUAAUACAGUCGGGGGAUGACGGUACCGGAAGAAUAAGCACCGGCUAACUACGUGCCAGCAGCCGCGGUAAUACGUAGGGUGCAAGCGUUAAUCGGAAUUACUGGGCGUAAAGCGUGCGCAGGCGGUUUGCUAAGACCGAUGUGAAAUCCCCGGGCUCAACCUGGGAACUGCAUUUGGUGACUGGCAGGCUAGAGUAUGGCAGAGGGGGGUAGAAUUCCACGUGUAGCAGUGAAAUGCGUAGAGAUGUGGAGGAAUACCGAUGGCGAAGGCAGCCCCCUGGGCCAAUACUGACGCUCAUGCACGAAAGCGUGGGGAGCAAAACAGGAUUAGAUACCCUGGUAGUCCACGCCCUAAACGAUGUCAACUAGUUGUUGGGGAUUCAUUCCUUAGUAACGUAGCUAACGCGUGAAGUUGACCGCCUGGGGAGUACGGUCGCAAGAUUAAAACUCAAAUGAAUUGACGGGGUCAUAGCUG